rnacentral:rRNA from 1 species
UACGGAGGGAGCUAGCGUUGUUCGGAAUUACUGGGCGUAAAGCGCACGUAGGCGGCUUUGUAAGUUAGAGGUGAAAGCCCGGAGCUCAACUCCGGAAUUGCCUUUAAGACUGCAUCGCUUGAAUCCGGGAGAGGUGAGUGGAAUUCCGAGUGUAGAGGUGAAAUUCGUAGAUAUUCGGAAGAACACCAGUGGCGAAGGCGGCUCAC